UCUAAGCAACCCCAUCUCAUAAAAAUCUUGUUUUUUGGUGUUUUCAUCUUGGCUUUUAGCUCAAUUUUCAAACGGUCCAUCAAUCUUAAAGUAACAAGACCAACAUAAAUUGACCCAAAAAUAAAACAGCUCAAUUGGUGACUUGAACCCACAGCUAUAGGGUCAGAGGUAGAUGGUACUUAUCAUUAUCCGAGCAACCCCUCUUGUGUAACCAGGUGAUUGGAAAAUCCAAGAUUUUGUUUAGGAAAUGAGGGAAGAAGAUUCCAAUUGGUUUGCCAAAUGGGAAGAAGAAUUACCAUCUCCAAAGGAACUGAUGCCUUUAUCCCAAACCUUAAUUACUCCUAGUUUAGCCAUAGCUUUUCAUAUUCAAAACCCCAAUAGCCCAAAUCCCAGAAUGUCACCACUAGUUCAUACUCCUCCAUCAGUCGAACUCGGCUGUGUUAGGUGGCUGGGCAGAUUCAUCAGGAGUUGGUCCUGAUGAACCUGCCGGAACCCCGAAAAGGGCUUGACUUGUGUGGAACCCACAGCUACGCAAGAGGUGGAAGAUCACACAAGUUAACUCCAACACAAGAUGAUACUGAUGAAGAUUCAAAACAACAACACAAGACUAAUGAUGAUAAUGAAGCUGAUUCGAUGAUAUUGAUCAUGAAGAUCCAAAACUACAACACAAGAAGCAUCCCUGUUAUUGUCGAGGCCUCGGGUGCUUUUUUGGGUCUGAUUUAUUUUCUUUACCUCAAAUACUACUACAUCACAAGAUGAGAUUUCAUUAAGUAUUUGGCUCAGGAAUAUUUAUAUAUCCACUGUUCUCCUCUUCCAAAUAAAACACUAAGUCUCCUCGAUCUCCAUUUGUCUUUUAAACUUUUCUCUUUGAGGUUGAAACAUAUCAAUCUUUUUGGUGUCAACACAUGAUGCCGCACA